rnacentral:rRNA from 1 species
CCUACGUGGGGCAGCAGUGAGGAAUAUUGGUCAAUGGACGAGAGUCUGAACCAGCCAAGUAGCGUGAAGGAUGACUGCCCUAUGGGUUGUAAACUUCUUUUAUCUGGGAAUAAAAUGUUCCACGUGUGGGAUUUUGUAUGUACCAUAUGAAUAAGGAUCGGCUAACUCCGUGCCCGCAGCCGCGGUAAUACGGAGGAUCCGAGCGUUAUCCGGAUUUAUUGGGUUUAAAGGGGGCGUAGGGGGAUUGUUAAGUCAGUUGUGAAAGUUUUCGGCACAACCGUAAAAUUGCAGUUGAAACUGGCGGUCUUGAGUACAGUAGAGGUGGGCGGAAUUCGUGGUGUAGCGGUGAAAUGCUUAGAUAUCACGAAGAACUCCGAUUGCGAAGGCAGCUCACUGGACUGCAACUGACACUGAGGCUCGAAAGUGUGGGUAUCAAACAGGAUUAGAUACCCGAGUAGUC